GAUGAACGCUGGCGGCGUGCCUAAUACAUGCAAGUCGAGCGAACAGACGAGGAGCUUGCUCCUCUGACGUUAGCGGCGGACGGGUGAGUAACACGUGGAUAACCUACCUAUAAGACUGGGAUAACUUCGGGAAACCGGAGCUAAUACCGGAUCAUAUAUUGAACCACAUGGUUCAAUAGUGAAAGACGGUUUUGCUGUCACUUAUAGAUGGAUCCGCGCCGCAUUAGCUAGUUGGUAAGGUAACGGCUUACCAAGGCAACGAUGCGUAGCCGACCUGAGAGGGUGAUCGGCCACACUGGAACUGAGACACGGUCCAGACUCCGACGAGAGGCAGCAGUAGGGAAUCUUCCGCGAUGGGCGAAAGCCUGACGGAGCAACGCCGCGUGAGUGAUGAAGGUCUUCGGAUCGUAAAACUCUGUUAUUAGGGAAGAACAAAUGUGUAAGUAACUAUGCACGUCUUGACGGUACCUAAUCAGAAAGCCACGGCUAACUACGUG
rnacentral:rRNA from 1 species